rnacentral:tRNA from 1 species
GCCGGGAUGCCCGAGCGGUUAAGGGGGUGGCCUGGAGAGCCAUUGGGGGCAACCCCACACGGGUUCGAAUCCCGUUCCCGGCG